rnacentral:rRNA from 1 species
UACGUAGGGUGCAAGCGUUGUCCGGAUUUACUGGGUUUAAAGGGUGCGUAGGCGGGCAGAUAAGUCUGGGAUGAAAUAGCGGGGCUCAACCCUGUUGCUGUCUUGGAUACUGUUUGUCUGGAGUGAGGUUGAGGUAGCUGGAAUGAGUGGUGUAGCGGUGAAAUGCGUAGAGAUCACUCGGAACACCGAUUGCGAAGGCAGGCUACUGGACCUUUACUGACGCUGAGGCACGAAAGUGUGGGGAUCAAACAGG